AGAGCGGCGGAGCCUGCCCGGCCGCCCCCGGCCUCAUGGUCGCUGCUCGCCCUCCCCCUCUUCCCCUUCCUCCUCCUCCUCCGCCGCAUUCUCCCCUCACAGCCGGCACGGGCCGCCUCCGAACCAGCCGCCCGGGACGUCCCGCCGCCGCCCCGCCGUACCUGGUGCCUCUCAGCGCAGACGAUACUGUUCAUAUUGGGAGCCUCCAGGCUGAAGGGGAAGCCGACGCGGAAAGGCAGCCCCAGCCCUCCGGGAAGAAGGAGCGGAAGGCGAGGCGAGGCGCUGCUGAGGGAGAGGGAGCGAGGAGCGGCGGGAGCCAGCCGGGGCGGAGCGGGGGAACAGAGCGCCGAACGGAGGGACCCGCCGCUGCUGGAGCAGGAGGAUCAAUCCCACACCGCCUGCGCGGGGCGCGGCACUGCGUCCCGUAACCCUCCGCCUCCGACGGGGCGGGCGGCAUCGCUCCGCCGAGAAACAAGUCCGGCCGCGGAGGGAGGGGCGCGGCGCGGGGCGGGGGCGGGGCGCGGCAGCUGGGGCUCGCCUGAGGGAGCGGCGGCCGAGGGUCGAGGAAACCGGUCAGGUCUGGAAGAGCCCGGGGAGAAGCAGCCGGGGCUCGGCCCGCGUUUCCGCCAGUGGCUGCCGCCGCGUUGUCACUCGUGGCUCUCGGCCGCGAGCCCACCUGAUUCGAUAAAUUGCAUUUUUCAGAGCCGGCGUCGCUUUUUCUCCUCAGCGAUGACUUCCUCUCAUCGCAGGGAGCCGUGCUUCGAGGUGUCACGCCUGCCUACGACGGUAGGCAGCCCACUUUUACCACAAAACACCAGCUUUAAAUGCUGGAGACUCCCCCUGGCAGCCUGUCCCCUGGGCUCGGCCCCGACUCUGGCUCCAGCACCCCCAAAUCCCUCUGGGAAAGGCCUUUUCGCACUUGGAUGGGAAACAUCCCCCCCGACUUUUCACAAUACAUCCUCUCUUGCUAGGCGAAGCAGUUUUAAAACAUCGCUGCUGAUAAACCAGGAGCGUUUGAAGCCUUCUCUCUUUGUUCCCUGCUCGCAUGCGAGAGAGAGCAAUGGGUUUCUGAUUCAUGGCUGGGACCCCCCCAAGUGUUGCUGCAACAUCAUCAUAAAUAAAACAUGGAGCAGGGUGACGUCGGAGGUCCCUUGCUGCCUUCCUGAUUUAAAUCACCAAGGUCACCUGGAAGACAGGGAUACACUUUCCCCUCCUGAUUUCUCCUGA
rnacentral:lncRNA from 1 species